AUGCAGAGCAGACAGCAGCCUGGGGCCCAGACCCAGGCUGCCUCCAUCACAGCUGCAGUGUUGGUGUUCGGCGGAGGGACCCAUCUGACCGUCCUGGGUCAGCCCAAGUCCGCACCCUUGGUCACCCUGUUCCCGCCCUCCACUGACGAGCUCAGCAACAACAAGGCCACACUGGUGUGUCUGGUCAGUGACUUCUACCCGGGAGCCGUGACAGUGGCCUGGAAGGAAAAUGGCAGCCCCGUCUCCCAGGGCGUGGAGACCACCAAGCCCUCCAAGCAGAGCAACAACAAGUAUGCGGCCAGCAGCUACCUGAGCGUGUCAGCCAGCAAGUGGAAAUCUGCCAGCCAGUACAGCUGCCAGGUGACCCACGAAGGCAGCACUGUGGAGAAGACAGUGGUCCCCUCGGAGUGUUCCUAGUACCUUCAGUCCCCACCCUUGGGACUGUAUCCUUAAGGUCCUUCAGGAUAAUCUCCCUGCCCCAACAUCCACUCUUCUCCCUGCACUUAAUCAACUCUCAAUAAAUUUUUCUUAUUGUCA